GACGAACGCUGGCGGCGUGCUUAACACAUGCAAGUCGAACGGAAAGGCCCUGCUUGCAGGGUACUCGAGUGGCGAACGGGUGUGUGACACGUGUGUGAUCUGCCCUGCACUUCGGGAUAAGCUUGGGAAACUGUGUCUAAUACCGGAUAUGAGCGCUCCUUAGGGUGGGGGGUGGAAAGUUUUUUCGGUGUAGGGUGGGCUCGCGGCCUAUCAGCUUGCUGGUGGGGUAAUGGCCUACCAAGGCGGCGACGGGUAGGCGGCCUGAGAGGGUGGACGGCCACAUUUGGACUGAGAUAACGGCCCGACUCCCACGGGGGGGAAGCGGGGGGAAUAUUUCAAAAUGGGCGCGAGCCUGAUGCAACGACGCCCCGGGGGGGGUGAACGCCCUCGGGGUGUAAACCCCUUUCGGUAUGGACGAAGGUGUGUGUGACGGUACCUAGAUAAGAAGCACCGGCUAACUACGUG
rnacentral:rRNA from 1 species